UACGGGGGGGGUAAGCGUUGUUCGGAAUUACUGGGCGUAAAGGGCUCGUAGGUGGCCAACUAAGUCGGACGUGAAAUCCCUCAGCUUAACUGGGGAACUGCGUCCGAUACUGGAUGGCUUGAGUUUGGGAGAGGGAUGCGGAAUUCCAGGUGUAGCGGUGAAAUGCGUAGAUAUCAGGAGGAACACCGGUGGCGAAGGCGGGUCUCUGGGCAACAACUGACGCUGAGGAGCGAAAGCGUGGGGAGCGAACAGG
rnacentral:rRNA from 1 species